AUGUUAGAGCACUCCAGUUCAGCUACAGUUUCAUGUCCACCCUCUGAUCCUCAUCCUCCUCCAUCCCCCAAACCUCAUCAGCCCGUCAUCCAGUCCUCCUCUUCCUUCUUCCUUCCUCCACCUCAGAGUUCACAAUGCAUCAAAAAAACAGCAACGCCAUCAACUGUUUCUGAGAAUACUGUUGUGAGGAGCCCACAGGUCUCAUCUCAGCCAGAAGAUCUCCCCCUUCUGUGGCCACAGACAAUGCCACAGCAAGACCAGAAGUGGGUGUCAGAAGCACUUUUUAGGGUUGGUGCAAAGGGAAAGCUGGAGCUGCGUGAAAACCUACAGUUGUGGUAUCACCCCCCACCACCAGCCCUGUUGUACCACCAAGCUCCAACACCUGAUAGGUUUUUUUCACAGCGUCUCUUGCUCUGGAUGCCAUAUAAGCUGUGGAAGGUGCGGCUCCAGUGUACUAACCCUGCCUGUGCCAGGCAACAGCUGUGUGGUGGUGGACUGCACAGGAGGGUACGACAGGUGUUAGACAUUGACAGAUACUACAACCUGGUGACAGAGACCCUGAUCUGCACCAGGUGUAGAACCAGCUAUCUGUCCUGGAGUCAAGCUGUGCUGCAGCAGUUGGACCUGGCCCAUCGAUCUGAAUUCAGGGUCAUCCUCACACGCAAGUAAUUAUUUUGCAGUCAUUUUCACUUAUGUGCUACCCUUUCUGAUAAAUAUUUCCUACAAUAAUUAGAUACCUUAUAAUAAGAUACUUAAAUGAAUGCUUUUUUCCAAGGUAUGCCUGUGACAUUCGGGUUCUUCGCUUGCUGCGUGAGAGGGGCAUGGGGAAUGGUCCAGUGAGGAUCAUCGGCCAGCUGAGAGAGAACCACAGUGAGGAGUGGUUGAAACGUGCGCUUCGGUACACAUCAGAGUGUGUGGCCUUUUUUGAUAAUCGUGGCCUGCAUCCGCUGCACUUCCAGGAGCCACCACCACUUGCUUCAGUACCCAGCUACAAAUGGCUCCUCACUGUAUAUAGUCAGGACAUUCUCAACAGGCUCGAUCACAUAAAGGCCAGCAUAACAUCCACGUAUGGAUCAAUCUUAAAAAUGGAUUCAACUAAGAAGGUCAGAUAAGCUGCUUAAUUGACUGUACCCUUAUCUAUAAUGUAUUGUUAGACCAAGAGAGCUUUAUUUUUUUCAGUGUAACUGAUUUGGAUGCAUGUUGUAUUAUUUGCUAUGCUUAUUGUUUCUUUCAGAUCACCAAGAAGUUGAGUGGGCCUGCGAAAGGCACAGCACAGUGGCUUACCUCAGUGGGCA
ensembl:lncRNA